CACAAGUUUAGCUAAGAAAAAAAAAUGGUUAAUCCAAACAUACUUGCUGAAAAAAGAAUCACUGCUUUUAGUGCUUCACAGGAAUUAAUGGAUUUAGAUUUAAAGAAGCUUCUUGGAUAAUAGAAGACCCAAAAAACCUGACUUAAGUAUAUUGAAAGACAAGAUUUUAACUCUAUUUACAAACGAAGAGAAUGUAUACUACAUUGCUCCAAAAGAAGAGGGAGAUAAUCAAUUUCUUGCUAGAGGGAAACUUUUUGAUAGGACAAGAAAUUUGAAAGAAUGGAUGAGGAAAAAAAUCUCCCCCCUAGAGUGAAAACAUCUAAACAGAAUGCUUAUAAAGAAGUAUCUGCAACAACAACAGCUGCUUCAAUAGAACUUACAAAGAAUAUAGAAAUAGCUUUGAAUUGGUUGAAAAAUGUUCAUGAACCAUGGAGUAAAGUAGAGGAAAAAUGGGUUGUAACAUCAAAAUACAGACGAGAUGUACUAUUAGCUUCAAGAUUUGCAAGCUAAAGAACGACGUGUAGAAUGUAUUAAAGCUGCAUCUUAUUUGGAUGAAUACAAAGUUCUUCGUCUCAGUCAGGGUUAUACAUUAAUUGAAAUAGACUUUGCAAUGUCUUGUCAACCUGGUUUACAAGAUGCGUUGAUCACAAAUUGGCAUUCAUUUAUUCAGAAAAUUGAGUUUAUUUUACAAAAUGAUGUUCAGUUUGUAAAAGAUCCUGAAGGGAAAAUGCUGCGACAGCUUUAUUUUAAGAUCACCAACAAAGUUUUUUAUGCUUGUCCGUCACGAAAGUUCUUCAGGCUGCAUACAUCUAAACGUAUCGGUGAGUGACACUUACUGGAGGAAUGGCGACAUGGAAUGGAGGAAUGGUUUUCAUUUUUAUGACAAAACAAAUGCAGGCAACAAUGUUGAUAGUUGUAAAGUACUUAUCAUACGUAUAGCGCAUUCCACAUGUCAAGGGACCACUUAAGAAUUAACUGCAUAGUAUUUUUAAAAUGAUCGCAAAAACAUGUUAGUGCUAGUAUUGGUUGUAUAAGAUUAAAGGUAAAAAAGUAAGUAUUAUAUGUCUCCUCUAAUACCACAACUCAUUGGGUGGAGACUGGACCAACAUUGGGCCCCAAUAUUGGUUCGCUAUUGUAAAGUAGACGCCUUGCAAUAUAUAGCUAAUAUUGAAGCCCAAUAUUAGACCAAUAUUGGCGCUCAAAAGUAAGCCAAUAUCGAAUUCCUAACAUUGGACCAAUAUUGAAUUACGAAUAUUGGACCAAUAUUGAAAUUUGAAUCUACCCAGAUAGCACAACAAAUUCCUAAUGUAUUCUUCUUUUUUGGACGGUAAUUUUUUAAGAAUUCGUAAGAGUAUACUAUAAACUACUUUAUUCCAAUGUUACAUUACAUUUAAAAAUUUUCACUGACACUGGUGGGACUCGAACUUGGACCCCUGAGGCACCUCUGGAUUAUAAGUGUGUUGCUUUAGGCACUACUUCUUUGAUCGAUAUAAACGUUCCACAUUUCGUCUAUAUAUGUUGUAAUUAACACAAUAAUAUAAUUUUUUGAUAACAUGAUUUAAUAAAAUGAUUUAAUUUGAAUAAAAAAUUAUAUUUUUCGUUUUUUUUUCGUGCAAUGUCUUAAAAACGAUGGUCCCACAGACAUUACAAAUGAGAUGAUAUGCAUUGAAACAUAUCCUUGUAACAUAACUGAAACUUUUUGUGCUAUCAUAGCAAUAUUGGAUUUUCAAUAAAAUUUUAUUUAUAUCCAAAAUUGACUGUACAUUAGCGCAAUCGUGGCAUGCAAUAUUGGCUAUAUAUUUUUAGCCAAUAUUGGCUAUAUAUUGGAAUACAUGUCAUUCCAAUAUAUAAUCAACAUUGGUGCAAGCAUGGUCCCCCAUAUUGACGAUCCAUUUGUUGCCAAUAUGGGCUGUACGUUGGCUCAAUCAUGGCGCCCAAUAUGGCUUUUCAUUAUAAUUUUUUAUUUAUCCAUACUGGCUGCACAUUGGCGCAGUCAUGGCAUGCAAUAUUGGCUAUAUAUUUUUAGCCAAUAUUGGCUAUAUAUUGGAAUAUUUGCGCCAAUGUCAUUCCAAUAUAUUGCCAACAUUGGUGCAAGCAUGGCCCCCCAUAUUGGCCAUCUAUUUGUUGCCAAUAUGGGCUGUACGUUGGCUCAAUUAUAGCGCCCAAUAUUGGCUUUUUAUUAUAAAUUUUUGUUUAUCCAAUACUGGCUGCACAUUGGCGCAAUCAUGGCAUGCAAUAUUGGCUAUAUAUUUCUAGCCAAUAUUGGCUAUAUACUGAAAUACAUUGGUCAAUAUUAUCUCAAUAUAUAACCAAUAUUGGUGCAAGCAUGGCCCCCCAUAUUAGCGAUUUAUUUGUUACCAAUAUGAGCUGUACAUGGGCUCAAUCAUGGUGCCCAAUUUUGGUUUUUAUUAUAAUUUUUUGUUUAUUCAAUACUGAUUGCACAUUGGCGCAAUCAUGGUAUGCAAUAUUGGCUAUAUAUUUUUAGCCAAUAUUGGCUAUAUAUUGGAAUAUUUGCGCCAAUAUCAUUCCAAUAUAUUGCCAACAUUGGUGCAAGCAUGGCCCCCCAUAUUGGCGAUCCAUUUGUUGCCAAUAUGGGCGAUGUAUUGGACAUACACUGGCCAAUGUAAUCCCAAUGUAUAUCAAUAUUACCAAUGUAAAACCAAUUCAAUGCCAAUGAAGUGUGCUAUUAGG